rnacentral:rRNA from 1 species
GCACAAGCGGUGGAUCAUGUUGUUUAAUUUCGAUGAUACGCGAAGAACCUUACCAGGCCUUGACAUGCAGAGAACUUUCCAGAGAUGGAUUUGGUGCCUUCGGGAACUCUGACACAGGUGCUGCAUGGCUGUCGUCAGCUCGUGUCGUGAGAUGUUGGGUUAAGUCCCGUAACGAGCGCAACCCUUGUCCUUAGUUACCAGCACGUUAUGGUGGGCACUCUAAGGAGACUGCCGGUGACAAACCGGAGGAAGGUGGGGAGUGACGUCAAGUCAUCAUGGCCCUUAUGUCCUGGGCUACACACGUGCUACAAUGGCCGGUACAGAGUGAAGCGAAACCGCGAGGUGAAGCAAAACGCAGAAAGCCGGUCUCAGUACGGAUUGGAGUCUGAAACUCGACUUCAUGAAGUUGGAAUCGCUAGUAAUCGCGCAUCAGCAUGGCGCGGUGAAUACGUUCCCGGGCCUU